rnacentral:rRNA from 1 species
UACGUAGGGGGCAAGCGUUGUCCGGAAUCAUUGGGCGUAAAGAGCGUGUAGGCGGUCCGGUAAGUCGGCUGUGAAAGUCCAGGGCUCAACCCUGGGAUGCCGGUCGAUACUGCCAGACUAGAGUUCGGAAGAGGCGAGUGGAAUUCCCGGUGUAGCGGUGAAAUGCGCAGAUAUCGGGAGGAACACCUAUGGCGAAGGCAGCUCGCUGGGACGUUACUGACGCUGAGACGCGAAAGCGUGGGGAGCAAACAGG